GGCGGACGAAGGAGGGCCAGUCGUUUCAUCUCCCAGGUCCUUCAUACAAUGCAUCAUUCCCACCGUGGGCUGAUGCGCAGGCCUUCCCGCUGGUCCGUACCGUAGACCCGUCGUCCUGGCACCUGUCGCCCUGGAAUGCCUGCAUCCUCACUCAUCCUGUGAGCCCGGGCUGCACAGGCGAGCAGGAUCAGAACCCCCUCCCUCCCCCUGGACGUCCCAGUACCCGAAGCAGACAGAUGGGGAGCUGCAUGCCUUGCUUGGAUCACCCUGUGCAAGAUAAUAAAACACACUUUGUUGGAAUUUUCU